ensembl:snoRNA
AUUGCCCCUAGGGGCAUUGUAGCAGUGGCUGCUAUGUCACAUGUGCAUCAGUAAGUGUCAGAGAGGCGAGAGUUAUGUUAUGCUCAGUGUUCUGACCUGUGGACAGCUGAAUGUCUUAAUAGACUAACAAU